rnacentral:ncRNA from 2 species
UAUCUUUGUCCCGUAACAGGUGUCCUGUCUGCCGACCGGCAUUCCGGAUGAAAAGGGAAUCGGGUGGAAAUCCCGGACAGUCCCGCUGCUGUAAUUUCCAGAAAGCGUAUCAAAAGAAAGACUCAUACCACUGCCUCAAUCCAUCACGAGGUCGGGAAGGUUUUUGAUACGGGAAUAAGUCAGAAAACCUGCCUGUUCAAACUGCGGCAU